CUCCAAAUAGCUACAACAUAAACCAAAUGAUAAACAUGCCAUGACGUCAAACCUUUGACACCUCUCUUAGUGACAUUAAAGAUUGUACUGAACAUGUCAACAUGACCAGGUAUGAUAAAUGCAAUAUUGACUUCACUUUUUGUACAACUAUGUUAUUAUUCACAUACUACAGUUUUCUCUUCCACCCACAGAAAGACCACAGUGCUGAUGUGUCCAUUUACUUUUACAGUAAUAGGAAGUUGUGUAGAGAUGAACAUGACGUCAGAUGCUAUUUUUUCUGUUUCUCCUUAAGCAUCUGUAACUUUCUAAUUCUGUCAAAGCCCCAUUCGUGUCACAGACCGCAGGAACUGUAGGGGUCCGGAMGACAUGCUGGUGUCGACAGUCACUUACCAGCGGCUCAGAAUGGAGCACACUUCAAUUUAUGUGCUACUCUGGUUUGGAUUUACGAUUUUCAAUGAUGAAACAAAACUAUACUCUAACCACUAGGAUACCUGCCGCCCCGAGGUCAAGCCAGGGAAGGCCACAUCAGCAACUGGACCUGUUGAUGUGACCUAUGCUGAGGUUGACCUUAAACAGAAGGCCAAAGCCAAGAAGAAGAAAGAAACAUCAACCCCACCUGAGGCAGAUUCAGUCUAUUCUCAAUUGAAGCCAGGUACAGCUUCAUAUGUAAGUAUGUAUAAGUAUGUAUCUUUG